UACGUAGGUGGCAAGCGUUGUCCGGAUUUACUGGGUGUAAAGGGCGUGUAGGCGGAGUUGCAAGUCAGGAGCGAAAUCUAUGGGCUCAACCCAUAAACUGCUUUUGAAACUGCAACCCUUGAGUAUCGGAGAGGCAGGCGGAAUUCCUAGUGUAGCGGUGAAAUGCAUAGAUAUUAGGAGGAACACCAGUGGCGAAGGCGGCCUGCUGGACGACAACUGACGCUGAGGCCCGAAAGCGUGGGGAGCAAAC
rnacentral:rRNA from 1 species